GUCUACGGCCAUACCACGUUGAAAAUACCAGGUAUCGUCCGAUCCCUGAAGUUAAGCAACACCGGGCCGAGUCAGUACCAGGGAGGGAGGCCACUUGGGAACACUCGGUGUCGUAGGCA
rnacentral:rRNA from 1 species